AUCGAACGCUGGCGGCAGGCCUAACACAUGCAAGUCGAACGAGUGGCGGACGGGUGUGUAAUGUCUGGGACACUGCCUGAUGGAGGGGGAUAACUACUGGAAACGGUAGCUAAUACGGCAUACCAUCAGAUGUGGCCCGAUUGGUUUAGCUUGUUGGUGGGGUAACGGCGCACCAGGGCGACGAUCCCUAGCUGGUCUGAGAGGAUGACCAGCCACACUGGAACUGAGACACGGUCCAGACGCCUACGAGAGGCAGCAGUGGGGAAUAUUGCACAAUGGGCGCAAGCCGGAUACAGCCAUGCCGCGUGUAUGAAGAAGGCCUUCGGGUUGUAAAGUACGUUCAGCGGGGAGGCGUUACCCGCAGAAGAAGCACCGGCUAACUCCGUGCCAGCCGCCGCGGUAAUUC
rnacentral:rRNA from 1 species